rnacentral:rRNA from 1 species
UACAGAGGGUGCGAGCGUUGUUCGGAAUUAUUGGGCGUAAAGGGCGCGUAGGCGGCGCCACAAGUCACCUGUGAAAGCCCUUGGCUUAACCGAGGAAGUGCAUCCGAAACUGGCGAGCUAGAGUACGAAAGAGGAUCGCGGAAUUCCCGGUGUAGAGGUGAAAUUCGUAGAUAUCGGGAGGAACACCGGUGGCGAAGGCGGCGAUCUGGGUCGAUACUGACGCUGAGGUGCGAAAGCGUGGGGAGCAAACAGG